rnacentral:rRNA from 1 species
UACAGAGGUCUCAAGCGUUGUUCGGAUUCAUUGGGCGUAAAGGGUGCGUAGGCGGCGCGGUAAGUCGGGUGUGAAAUCUCGGAGCUUAACUCCGAAACUGCAUUCGAUACUGCCGUGCUUGAGGACUGGAGAGGAGACUGGAAUUCAUGGUGUAGCAGUGAAAUGCGUAGAGAUCAUGAGGAAGACCAGUGGCGAAGGCGGCGCUCUGGGCCGGAACUGACGCUGAGGAGCGAAAGCGUGGGGAGCGAACAGG